UCGGGAAUUUUGGGCAAUGGGCGAAAGCCUGACCCAGCAACGCCGCGUGAGGGAUGAAGUAUUUCGGUAUGUAAACCUCGAAAGAAUGGGAAGAAUAAAUGACGGUACCAUUUAUAAGCUCCGGCUAACUACGUGCCAGCAGCCGCGGUAAUACGUAGGGAGCAAGCGUUGUUCGGAUUUACUGGGCGUAAAGGGCGCGUAGGCGGCGCGGUAAGUCACUAGUGAAAUCUCUGAGCUUAACUCAGAACGGCCGAAUGAUACUGCUGUGCUAGAGUGCGGAAGAGGCAACCGGAAUUCUUGGUGUAGCGGUGAAAUGCGUAGAUAUCAAGAGGAACACCUGAGGCGAAGGCGGGUUGCUGGGCCGACACUGACGCUGAUGCGCGAAAGCCAGGGGAGCAAACG
rnacentral:rRNA from 1 species